GCCGAAGUGGCGGAAUUGGCAGACGCGCUAGAUUCAGGAUCUAGUGGACAUUUAUAUCCGUGGGAGUUCGAAUCUCCCCUUCGGCACCA
rnacentral:tRNA from 1 species